UACGAAGGGUGCAAACGUUGCUCGGAAUUAUUGGGCGUAAAGAGCUCGUAGGCGGUGUGUCGCGUCGGCCGUGAAAACCUGGGGCUCAACUCUGGGCGUGCGGUCGAUACGGGCAUCACUUGAGUUCGGCAGGGGAGACUGGAAUUCCUGGUGUAGCGGUGAAAUGCGCAGAUAUUAGGAGGAACACCGGUGGCGAAGGCGGCUACCUGGACCGAUAUUGACGCUGAGACGCGAAAGCGUGGGGAGCAAACAGG
rnacentral:rRNA from 1 species